GACGAACGCUGGCGGCGCGCCUAACACAUGCAAGUCGAACGAGCGAGAGAGAGCUUGCUUUCUCGAGCGAGUGGCGAACGGGUGAGUAACGCGUGAGGAACCUGCCUCAAAGAGGGGGACAACAGUUGGAAACGACUGCUAAUACCGCAUAAGCCCACGGGUCGGCAUCGACCAGAGGGAAAAGGAGCAAUCCGCUUUGAGAUGGCCUCGCGUCCGAUUAGCUAGUUGGUGAGGUAAUGGCCCACCAAGGCGACGAUCGGUAGCCGGACUGAGAGGUUGAACGGCCACAUUGGGGCUGAGACACGGCCCAGACUCCUACGGGAGGCAGCAGUGGGGAAUAUUGCACAAUGGGGGAAACCCUGAUGCAGCGACGCCGCGUGGAGGAAGAAGGUCUUCGGAUUGUAAACUCCUGUUGUUGGGGAAGAUAAUGACGGUACCCAACAAGGAAGUGACGGCUAACUACGUG
rnacentral:rRNA from 1 species